rnacentral:rRNA from 1 species
UACGGAGGAUGCAAGCGUUAUCCGGAAUGAUUGGGCGCAAAGCGUCCGCAGGUGGCAAUGUAAGUCUGCUGUCAAAGCGUCUGGCUCAACCAGAUAAAGGCAGUGGAAACUACAUAGCUAGAGUAAGGUAGGGGUAGAGGGAAUUCCUGGUGUAGCGGUGAAAUGCGUAGAGAUCAGGAAGAACACCGGUGGCGAAAGCGCUCUGCUGGACCUUAACUGACACUGAGGGACGAAAGCUAGGGGAGCGAAUGGG